GUUGGUUCUACCCGAAGACGGUGAUGCUAACCGCAAGGAGGCAGCCGGCCACGGUAGGGUCAGCGACUGGGGUGAAGUCGUAACAAGGUAGCCGUAGGUGAACCUGCAGAAGGAUCA
rnacentral:rRNA from 1 species